GAUGAACGCUAGCUACAGGCUUAACACAUGCAAGUCGAGGGGCAGCACAGUGUAGCAAUACACGGGUGGCGACCGGCGCACGGGUGCGUAACACGUAUCCAAUCUUCCCGAUACUCUUGGAUAGCCUUCCGAAAGGGAGAUUAAUACAAGAUGGUGUUUCACUUUCGCAUGUUAUUGAAACUAAAGAUUUAUCGGUAUCGGAUGGGGAUGCGUGACAUUAGAUAGUAGGCGGGGUAACGGCCCACCUAGUCUACGAUGUCUAGGGGUUCUGAGAGGAAGGUCCCCCACACUGGAACUGAGACACGGUCCAGACUCCUACGGGAGGCAGCAGUGAGGAAUAUUGGUCAAUGGUCGGAAGACUGAACCAGCCAAGUAGCGUGAAGGAUGAAGGUUCUAUGGAUUGUAAACUUCUUUUAUACGGGAAUAAAACACCUUACGUGUAGGGUCUUGUAUGUACCGUAUGAAUAAGCAUCGGCUAACUCCGUGCCAGCCGCCGCGGUAAAAC
rnacentral:rRNA from 1 species